AACGUAGGAGGCAAGCGUUAUCCGGAUUUACUGGGCGUAAAGCGCGUGUAGGCGGCUUGAUAAGUCGGACGUGAAAGCUCCUGGCUCAACUGGGAGAGGCCGUUCGAUACUGUCGAGCUUGAGGGCAGGAGAGGGAGGUGGAAUUCCGGGUGUAGCGGUGAAAUGCGUAGAUAUCCGGAGGAACACCAGUGGCGAAGGCGGCCUCCUGGCCUGUCCCUGACGCUCAGACGCGAAAGCUAGGGUAGCGAACGGG
rnacentral:rRNA from 1 species